AUUGAACGCUGGCGGCAGGCCUAACACAUGCAAGUCGAGCGGCAGCGGGAAAGUAGCUUGCUACUUUUGCCGGCGAGCGGCGGACGGGUGAGUAAUGCCUGGGAAAUUGCCCAGUCGAGGGGGAUAACAGUUGGAAACGACUGCUAAUACCGCAUACGCCCUACGGGGGAAAGCAGGGGACCUUAGGGCCUUGCGCGAUUGGAUAUGCCCAGGUGGGAUUAGCUAGUUGGUGAGGUAAUGGCUCACCAAGGCGACGAUCCCUAGCUGGUCUGAGAGUAUGAUCCGCCACACUGGAACUGAGACACGGUCCAGACUCCUACGGGGGGCAGCAGUGGGGAAUAUGGCACAAUGGGGGAAACCCUGAUGCAGCCAUGCCGCGUGUGUGAAGAAGGCCUUCGGGUUGUAAAGCACUUUCAGCGAGGAGGAAUGGUUGAUGCCUAAUACGUAUCAACUGUGACGUUACUCGCAGAAGAAGCACCGGCUAACUCCGUGCCAGCAGCCGCGGUAAGAC
rnacentral:rRNA from 1 species